GCGGUAUUGGCGGAAUUGGCAGACGCGUACGGUUGAGGGCCGUAUGGGUAAAACCGUGGUGGUUCAAGUCCACUAUACCGCACCA
rnacentral:tRNA from 2 species